rnacentral:lncRNA from 1 species
CUCAAGGCUAACCCGGGGGCUUCGCCACAUUGACUUGCUUCACAUUAAGUCCAUCAUCGCAGGAACUCACCCGCUAGGACCGUCCUUCGGGUUUACUCCAACCCGUGAUGCAUAACUCCGGAGCGCAUCGCCCGAGGGGGAGCGACCGCCCUCGAGCACGGAACUCAUAGCAAGUAUGAUCAUAUCCUUAACUCAAAGGAUUUAUAAGUUCAAUCUUGACUUUACACUAGCUCUAGUGUUCUUUCAUCACUUUAUGUUGCUAACUCUAGCAAUCAUUGUUCUUUACUUUUCUUUUACUUUUGCCAUCUUUAGCAUUCUUGUUCUUUACAUUUCUUGUUCUUAUUGCCCCACUUUACUUUAACUUUACACAUAUUGUCACUUUCAUCAUUCUUUACAUCACUUUGGUUCUUUGGCUCACACUAAUUCUAGUGUCACUUUACUUUACAUUUUCAAAUGCCACUCGAUCUAUGUCAUAGUGUCACUCUGUUCUUUUGCUCACUUUGGGUGCUCACUUUUCUCUCAUGCAUACACAUAGGGUUCUCGACAUUCACAUAGUUCUUAUUCAUCUUAUUAUGCAAGUUGUACUCACAAUCAUGCAACAUCACAUUUUCAUCAUUACUUUACCGUAAAAUGCAUGCAACAAUAUAUAUACACAUGCUCAAAUGAAUGACUCAUUAGGCAUAGAGAGAAGUUCAAUGAGUUUGAGAAGCACCACCCACCUCGUAGGUCUAUUUAGGUGCUCCGACGAAUUUCUUGAGAUUUAUAGGCUCCUCGUUCUUCACCUGCGGCAAAACGAACCCUUAUUAGGUCAUUUUGCCCAUAACUUUUGAUUGUCCUUUCGUAUACCUCAACGGAGCGCACCAACGCGUUCGUUGGGUCCCCAAUUAGGUUCUUGGAGGGUCAAUUGCACUUAGAAAUCCUCAUGAGCAAAAGCCCC